rnacentral:lncRNA from 1 species
CUUAUAUUGAUGCAAGUGCAUGAUUGUAUACACAUGUGAAGACUUUCCAGUUUUGUGAUGAUUGCAUUUUUAGCAUUAAUGGAAUAUGUUGAUUGAUUUUUUUCAGUGAAUGAGGACUGAUGAAGCAGAUGAGUUUGCUGCAGGGUCUGAAAACAAAGUGAAAAGUCCUAGAGAACCCAACAUCUUUCCAUAUCUAAGAAAAGGCUUAAAAGAAGACUCAGGACCUUGAGAAGCUCCGUGGUAGCCUUGAAACCAGUGACCUCACAUCUAGAAGAGCUCUGAACACCAGCAACCUACCAGCCACCAGGGGGCAAGACGGAUGGGAGCUCACCAGCAUCA